ensembl:ncRNA Y48A6B.18 ncRNA
UUUUAUCAGCUGCCUUAGAAAAUAAAAAAAAUCAAGGGGAGAAAAAAAAUUUCUUACGACUUUUAAUCGCGGAAUUUCUGUUAAAGGCCUGGUGUCGCUGAUAGAUAAUUUGUCCAAUUGUCCAAAUUCGAUCGGCCGAUGGAUC